rnacentral:rRNA from 1 species
GAUGAACGCUGGCGGCGUGCCUAAUACAUGCAAGUCGAGCGAACAGACGAGGAGCUUGCUCCUCUGACGUUAGCCGCGGACGGGUGAGUAACACGUGGAUCACCUACCUAUCUGACUGGGAUCACUUCGGGACACCGGAGCUAAUACCGGAUAAUAUCUUGAACCGCGUGGUUCAUUGGUAAAAGACGGUUUUGCUGUCACUUAUAGAUGGAUCUCCGCCGCAUUAUCUAGGUUGUAAGGUCACGGCUUACCAAGGCAACGAUGCGUAGCCGACCUGAGAGGGGGGUCGGCCACCCGAGAAGUGAGACAGGGUCAAGACGCCUGCGGGACGCAGCAGUAGGGAAUCGGCGGCAACGGGGGAAAGCAUGGCGGAGCAACGGCGAGUGAGAUAUGAAGGUCUUCGGAGCGUAAAACUCGGUUAUUAGGGAUGAACCAAUGUGGAAGUAACUAUGCACUGAGUGACGGUACCUAAUCAGAAAGCCACGGCUAACUACGUG